GAUGAAGAACGCAGCGAAAUGCGAUAAGUAAUGUGAAUUGCAGAAUUCAGUGAAUCAUCGAAUCUUUGAACGCACAUUGCGCCCGCCAGUAUUCUGGCGGGCAUGCCUGUUCGAGCGUCAUUACAACCCUCAGGCCCCCGGGCCUGGCGUUGGGGAUCGGCGAGGCGCCCCCCGCGGGCACGCGCCGUCCCCCAAAUACAGUGGCGGUCCCGCCGCAGCUUCCAUUGCGUAGUAGCUAACACCUCGCAACUGGAGAGCGGUGCGGCCAUGCCGUAAAACACCCAACUUCUGAAUGUUGACCUCGAAUCAGGUAGGAAUACCCGCUGAACUUAAGCAUAUCAAUAAGCGGAGGA
rnacentral:misc_RNA from 1 species